rnacentral:tRNA from 1 species
GGUUGUGGCUCAGUGGUAGAGUACUUGCCUAGCAUGUGUGAGGCACUGGGUACAAUUCUCAGCACCG